GCCCUUCUAGGAGUGGGGCAUAGGUCCUGCCCCUGGGGAGCCCCCAGUCCCAGGAGGGGCCCAUCCAGUGCAGGAGCUCAAGGCUGGGAAAAGAGGGGGCCUUAGGACUAUGGGUGGCAGGGAGGCUUCCAUACAAAUUGGUGCUGUGGGUUGGCUCAGCACUUUAGGCAGCAGCUGCCCGUGCGAAGGCUUGGAGACAGCCUGGUGUUUCAGAACUGUGUGAAGUUAAGGCACUCUGUGGAGUCUUGGAGGAAGAGCGCUUCUCAACCACGGUGACUCUUUCGGCGACUAGUGGCCAGAGAUGCUUCUAAACAUCCAACAAUGCACAGGACAGCAUCCCAGCGAGGAAUCAUCAGUCCCAAAGUCAACAGUGCAGGGUGGGAGAGACCCAGCUUUGAACACACCUCCUCCUGGAAGCCCCCCUGGAUUUGACACACCUACUGCCCUUCCUCCCCACCCCUGCACCCUUUCCUUCUCCCCUUCGUAACCCCAGGAGAGGUUAAACAGGUCAAACGAGGAGCGAGACGCGGCCUCCCCCAACAUGCAGAGGAUCCCAAAUCUGAAAGAAGAACCGACACCCACAGAUCUGGGGCCCACAUCCGCACAAUUUUCUGUUUUUCCCCCGAAGAAUUAGAUGCUUUGGUGAUCAAUGCUGCCUUAUGUGAAGCACAGAGAGGUUAGGUGACUUGCCAAAGGUCACACAGCACUUCAAUGGAAGAACCAGGAAUUUGAACACAGUAGAUACAGGGUUUCACCAUGUUGGCCUUGAACUCCUGACCU
rnacentral:lncRNA from 1 species